rnacentral:rRNA from 1 species
AAGGCUUCAGUACGACCCAGUCAGAACUAUAAGUCUCAAAGCCCCGACGAGUAGGGUGGCGUGCCGGUGCGCGUUGAAGGCCAAGACGUGAGUCAGGCUGGAGCCGCCGGUAGUGCAGAUCUUGGUGGUAGUAGCAAGUACUCUGGUGAACCAACCUGGAGCUGUGAGGUCUGGAUUAGGGUUCCAUGUCAACAGUGAUUGAACAUGGGUUAGUCGAUCCUAAGCCAGCUGUGAAUGCAGUGACAUCCCGACAACGGGGACGCCGCGUACAUGCCCGGCACUUACACCCCCAUACCAAAGCUCUCGUGUAUCUCUCUCUCAACAAACUGUCUGUGACGAAAAGGUGUCUGGUACGGAAAAUGCGCACACAUGCGAUCACCACAGAGUGUGAAUGUGUGCGCUUGUCUGGAGGCGCACACAUGCGAUCACCACAGAGUGUGAAUGUGUGCGUUUGUCUGGAGGCGCACACAUGCGAUCACCACAGAGUGUGAAUGUGUGCGCUUGUCUGGAGGCGCACACAUGCGACCACCACAGAGUGUGAAUGUGUGCGCUUGUCUGGUUACGCUCGUAAGCGUUGUUGAUCUCUCUGUCCUAAAAGUCGCGCACGCACGAUGAUCGCUACGGAGUGUGAGUGUGUGCGCGCACGCUAAAGCAUAAAACGAGAGAGAGAGAGAAAGAGAGUGGGUGAGCGUGAGUUUGCACUUGCAUGAGUCCCCCGCGUCUGGUUCUAUGUCCGGCGAAAGGGAAUGGGGACUUUGUUCCUUGACCGGUCCCGGCACCCUCGAUUGGCUUUGCCAAUCAAUGGUCCAUGCAAAUGGAACCAGGCCCACAGCCGUCGGCAGUCGCCCGAGGAAGAGUUUUCUUUUCUGCUUAACGCACGAGGUCAUCCCUGGAAACAGUUCGGCUGGCGAAAGGGUGUCCCGUUGCGGCAGAGCGCCACGACUGUCGUGCGCGUCUCGGUGUUCCUGCUGAUCCGUGAAAACGUGGUCGAGGGGUGUGCUCUUGUAUCAACGAAACGUCCGACAAGUUCGGGACGGACCGUACCCUAUAUCCGCAUCUGGUCUCCAAGGUUCGUAGCCUCUGCAGAGUCAGACACAUGUAGGUAAGGGAAGUCGGCAAACUCGAUCCGUAACUUCGGGAAAAGGAUUGGCUCUGAGGGCCGAGCUGGGCCGGGCCUUGCCUGCAAAGCAGUACCUAUAGUGACCGGAGUUUCAGGAGUGCGAGGGGCUCUAGUAGCUGCUUGCGCGUGUGUGUGCGUUCGCGCGUGCGUGCGCGUGUGGGCACGAACGAGUCCACCGCUCCGCUCCAACCACGAACGGCUGUGACGGCAAGGGCUCUGGGCGGGAGCAGUCUAUCCGUUGGCCCCCAGCGCGUCUGGGUGGCGGCGGUGCUCCGUCUGACCCAUACGGCUCCAGCGGCUAGCGGCUAACUCAGAACUGUCAUGGACCAAGGGAAUCCGACUGUCUAAUUAAAACAAAGCGUCGUGACGGCCCCUGUUGGGUGUUGACGCGACGUGAUUUC